rnacentral:rRNA from 1 species
UGGUUUCUAUCUUUUAAAAUUUAAAAUAUUUUAGUACGAAAGGAUCAAAUAUUUUAAUUAAAUUAUUAAAAUUUAAUUUGAAUUUUAUUAAAAAUAAUUAAAAAUUUUUAUAUUUUUAUAGAAAAAAAAUUAAUUUUUAUUAUUUAAAUUUUAAAUAAUAGAAAUUAAA